UACGGGGGGAGCAAGCGUUGUUCGGAUUUACUGGGCGUAAAGGGCGCGUAGGCGGUCAGCACAAGUCAGUUGUGAAAUCUCCGGGCUUAACUCGGAAAGGUCAACUGAUACUGUGCGACUAGAGUGCAGAAGGGGCAACUGGAAUUCCUGGUGUAGCGGUGAAAUGCGCAGAUAUCAGGAGGAACACCGGUGGCGAAGGCGGGUCUCUGGGCCGUAACUGACGCUGAGGAGCGAAAGCAUGGGGAGCGAACAGG
rnacentral:rRNA from 1 species